rnacentral:tRNA from 1 species
AGCACGGUGGCCGAGUGGUUAAGACGUUAGACUUAAGAUCUAAUGGAUAUAUGUCCGCAUGGGUUCGAUCCCAACCGUGCUA